CCUACGGGAGGCAGCAGUGGGGAAUAUUGGGCAAUGGGCGCAAGCCUGACCCAGCAACGCCGCGUGAAGGAAGAAGGCUUUCGGGUUGUAAACUUCUUUUGUCAGGGACGAAGAAAGUGACGGUCCCUGACGAAUAAGCCACGGCUCACUACGUGCCAGCAGCCGCGGUAAUACGUAGGUGGCAAGCGUUAUCCGGAUUUCGUGGGUGUAAAGGGCGUGUAGGCGGGACUUCGAGUCAGAUGUGAAUACCACGGACUCAACCUGUGGCCUGCAUUUGAAACUGUAGUUCUUGAGUACAGGAGAGGCAGACGGAAUUCGUAGUGUAGCGGUGAAAUGCGUAGAUAUUAGGAGGAACACCAGUGGCGAAGGCGGUCUGCUGGACAGCAACUGACGCUGAGGCGCGAAAGCGUGGGGAGCAAACAGGAUUAGAUACCCUUGUAGUC
rnacentral:rRNA from 1 species